CCCUCAAGAUGAGAUUUCCCAUAGCGUAAGCUAGUAAGAUCCCUGAAAGAUGAUCAGGUUGAUAGGUUCGAGGUGGAAGCAUGGUGACAUGUGGAGCUGACGAAUACUAAUAGAUCGAGGACUUAACCAUAUAA
rnacentral:rRNA from 1 species